GCAGGGUUCGUACAUCGGUAGUACAGCGGCUUCCCAAGCCGCGGAGGCGGGUUCGACUCCCGUACCCUGCU
rnacentral:tRNA from 1 species